rnacentral:pre_miRNA from 1 species
GGUUGAUGAAGAUGAUGAUGAUGAUCUUGGCGAUAAACAAACGGUUACUGUGAGGAUGCUUGUGCCUUCAGACCAGAUCGGUUGCGUUAUCGGGAAAGGCACAAGCAUCCUCACAGUAACCGUUUGUUUAUCGCCAAGAUCAUCAUCAUCAUCUUCA